rnacentral:rRNA from 1 species
GGGAGGGGCUCGCGGCCUAUCAGCUAGUUGGUGAGGUAACGGCUCACCAAGGCUUCGACGGGUAGCUGGUCUGAGAGGACGAUCAGCCACACUGGGACUGAGACACGGCCCAGACUCCUACGGGAGGCAGCAGUGGGGAAUAUUGCGCAAUGGGCGAAAGCCUGACGCAGCGACGCCGCGUGGGGGAUGAAGGCCUUCGGGUUGUAAACCCCUUUCGGCAGGGACGAAGCGAAAGUGACGGUACCUGCAGAAGAAGCGCCGGCUAACUACGUGCCAGCAGCCGCGGUAACACGUAGGGCGCAAGCGUUGUCCGGAAUCAUUGGGCGUAAAGAGCUCGUAGGUGGUCUGUCACGUCUGCUGUGAAAACUCGGGGCUUAACCCCGAGCUUGCAGUGGAUACGGGCAGACUAGAGGUAGGUAGGGGAGAAUGGAAUUCCCGGUGUAGCGGUGAAAUGCGCAGAUAUCGGGAGGAACACCGGUGGCGAAGGCGGUUCUCUGGGCCUUACCUGACACUGAGGAGCGAAAGC